UUAAGUUAUUAAGGGCGCACGGUGGAUGCCUUGGCACUAGAAGCCGAUGAAGGACGUUACUAACGACGAUAUGCUUUGGGGAGCUGUAAGUAAGCUUUGAUCCAGAGAUUUCCGAAUGGGGAAACCCAGCAUGAGUUAUGUCAUGUUAUCGAUAUGUGAAUACAUAGCAUAUCAGAAGGCACACCCGGAGAACUGAAACAUCUUAGUACCCGGAGGAAGAGAAAGAAAAUUCGAUUCCCUUAGUAGCGGCGAGCGAAACGGGAAGAGCCCAAACCAACAAGCUUGCUUGUUGGGGUUGUAGGACACUCUAUACGGAGUUACAAAGGACGACAUUAGACGAAUCAUCUGGAAAGAUGAAUCAAAGAAGGUAAUAAUCCUGUAGUCGAAAAUGUUGUCUCUCUUGAGUGGAUCCUGAGUACGACGGAGCACGUGAAAUUCCGUCGGAAUCUGGGAGGACCAUCUCCUAAGGCUAAAUACUCUCUAGUGACCGAUAGUGAACCAGUACCGUGAGGGAAAGGUGAAAAGCACCCCGGAAGGGGAGUGAAAUAGAACCUGAAACCGUGUGCUUACAAGUAGUCAGAGCCCGUUAAUGGGUGAUGGCGUGCCUUUUGUAGAAUGAACCGGCGAGUUACGAUUUGAUGCAAGGUUAAGCAGUAAAUGUGGAGCCGUAGCGAAAGCGAGUCUGAAUAGGGCGUUUAGUAUUUGGUCGUAGACCCGAAACCAGGUGAUCUACCCUUGGUCAGGUUGAAGUUCAGGUAACACUGAAUGGAGGACCGAACCGACUUACGUUGAAAAGUGAGCGGAUGAACUGAGGGUAGCGGAGAAAUUCCAAUCGAACCUGGAGAUAGCUGGUUCUCUCCGAAAUAGCUUUAGGGCUAGCCUCAAGUGAUGAUUAUUGGAGGUAGAGCACUGUUUGGACGAGGGGCCCCUCUCGGGUUACCGAAUUCAGACAAACUCCGAAUGCCAAUUAAUUUAACUUGGGAGUCAGAACAUGGGUGAUAAGGUCCGUGUUCGAAAGGGAAACAGCCCAGACCACCAGCUAAGGUCCCAAAAUAUAUGUUAAGUGGAAAAGGAUGUGGCGUUGCCCAGACAACUAGGAUGUUGGCUUAGAAGCAGCCAUCAUUUAAAGAGUGCGUAAUAGCUCACUAGUCGAGUGACACUGCGCCGAAAAUGUACCGGGGCUAAACAUAUUACCGAAGCUGUGGAUUGUCCUUUGGACAAUGGUAGGAGAGCGUUCUAAGGGCGUUGAAGCAUGAUCGUAAGGACAUGUGGAGCGCUUAGAAGUGAGAAUGCCGGUGUGAGUAGCGAAAGACGGGUGAGAAUCCCGUCCACCGAUUGACUAAGGUUUCCAGAGGAAGGCUCGUCCGCUCUGGGUUAGUCGGGUCCUAAGCUGAGGCCGACAGGCGUAGGCGAUGGAUAACAGGUUGAUAUUCCUGUACCACCUAUAAUCGUUUUAAUCGAUGGGGGGACGCAGUAGGAUAGGCGAAGCGUGCGAUUGGAUUGCACGUCUAAGCAGUAAGGCUGAGUAUUAGGCAAAUCCGGUACUCGUUAAGGCUGAGCUGUGAUGGGGAGAAGACAUUGAGUCUUCGAGUCGUUGAUUUCACACUGCCGAGAAAAGCCUCUAGAUAGAAAAUAGGUGCCCGUACCGCAAACCGACACAGGUAGUCAAGAUGAGAAUUCUAAGGUGAGCGAGCGAACUCUCGUUAAGGAACUCGGCAAAAUGACCCCGUAACUUCGGGAGAAGGGGUGCUCUUUAGGGUUAACGCCCAGAAGAGCCGCAGUGAAUAGGCCCAAGCGACUGUUUAUCAAAAACACAGGUCUCUGCUAAACCGUAAGGUGAUGUAUAGGGGCUGACGCCUGCCCGGUGCUGGAAGGUUAAGAGGAGUGGUUAGCUUCUGCGAAGCUACGAAUCGAAGCCCCAGUAAACGGCGGCCGUAACUAUAACGGUCCUAAGGUAGCGAAAUUCCUUGUCGGGUAAGUUCCGACCCGCACGAAAGGCGUAACGAUUUGGGCACUGUCUCAACGAGAGACUCGGUGAAAUCAUAGUACCUGUGAAGAUGCAGGUUACCCGCGACAGGACGGAAAGACCCCGUGGAGCUUUACUGUAGCCUGAUAUUGAAAUUCGGCACAGCUUGUACAGGAUAGGUAGGAGCCUUUGAAACGUGAGCGCUAGCUUACGUGGAGGCGCUGGUGGGAUACUACCCUAGCUGUGUUGGCUUUCUAACCGGCACCACUUAUCGUGGUGGGAGACAGUGUCAGGCGGGCAGUUUGACUGGGGCGGUCGCCUCCUAAAAGGUAACGGAGGCGCUCAAAGGUUCCCUCAGAAUGGUUGGAAAUCAUUCAUAGAGUGUAAAGGCAUAAGGGAGCUUGACUGCGAGACCUACAAGUCGAGCAGGGUCGAAAGACGGACUUAGUGAUCCGGUGGUUCCGCAUGGAAGGGCCAUCGCUCAACGGAUAAAAGCUACCCCGGGGAUAACAGGCUUAUCUCCCCCAAGAGUUCACAUCGACGGGGAGGUUUGGCACCUCGAUGUCGGCUCAUCGCAUCCUGGGGCUGUAGUCGGUCCCAAGGGUUGGGCUGUUCGCCCAUUAAAGCGGUACGCGAGCUGGGUUCAGAACGUCGUGAGACAGUUCGGUCCCUAUCCGUCGUGGGCGUAGGAAAUUUGAGAGGAGCUGUCCUUAGUACGAGAGGACCGGGAUGGACAUACCUCUGGUGUACCAGUUGUCGUGCCAACGGCAUAGCUGGGUAGCUAUGUGUGGACGGGAUAAGUGCUGAAAGCAUCUAAGCAUGAAGCCCCCCUCAAGAUGAGAUUUCCCAACUUCGGUUAUAAGAUCCCUCAAAGAUGAUGAGGUUAAUAGGUUCGAGGUGGAAGCAUGGUGACAUGUGGAGCUGACGAAUACUAAUCGAUCGAAGACUUAAUCAA
rnacentral:rRNA from 1 species